AGUGAGAAACCUUCAUGCGGUCCUUCUACUUCAAUUCCGUAGUGCAUUGCAGUGUUUGAUGUAGAUCUGCAAGCAGUGCGGAAGUGAGGUGGAAGAGGCUUGGGGAACACCCUGCAACU
rnacentral:pre_miRNA from 12 species